AAAAAGAACUGACACGGUACAAGGAGUUUUGCAAUGAUAAUUGAAACAAAUGCACCUUUAUUGAAUGACCACAGCAAAAUGCGAUAGAGGGAUUAAGGGAGAGAAAAAGACAGAGGAAGAGAGGGAAUAGGGCUGCCAAACGUAGAGACAAAGUCCUUUGGUCCAGUCCAGUCGAGGACCCGCCUGUUGCGUCGGGGAGAUCUCAAAGUCUCUCGCUAACUCAGAGGUUUUUAUUAUGAUAACUCUAUUGGAAAUUGCGAGGCAGGAGGAUACAGAUACAAUAAGGAAUAGAAGUAACAGGUAGUCCAUGCUCUCAGCAGUAAAGGAGAGCCAUUGUCUUCUUGGUGCAGGGGUCACAACCUGCAGGCAAACAUCUCGCUUUGGUCAGCUUGCCUCCCCCACACACCUACCUCGGGCUGGGGGUUUCAGUCCCGGUCCUUGGAAGGAGCAGAGGGGCCUUUCCACAUGGGGGUUCCAUGUCUCAGUCCUUGAUGGAGAGGCUCCUUCCAUCUCAGUCUGUCUGUCCCGGUGGUUGUAAAACAGGUGAGGGUCUUCUGUGGGGGGACCACCUGAAACGCAGGAGAAGUCCAGCCAGGCCAAGAGGUGGGACAGCUUCCAAGGCUGUUGUUGCAAAAAGGGCACAGUGCCCCGUUCUUCUUCUCAUUGGGCUCAGCGUAGCAUACAGCAAACAACACCUGUGAGAACAAUGGCUUCGCAACGCUCUCAGGUCUCAGGCACAUGACUUUCUCCCUUGGAGCCAGAGAUUCAAGACAGGGGGAUCUUCAGUGGUCCCCCAAUGACAAUCGUGAGGCAGAUGAGGGAAAAUUCAGACAGACUCUCACAAGCAGAAACUGGCAGGAUGUGUCUGCUUCCAGUGCUUGUCUUGGGUGUUCCUUCGCAGUGCUGGCAGCAUCAUCAGAGACACACCACACGUUCUCUCAUGCCAGGGUCAUCCCAAUCUUCUGCACUUGCCCAGGGGCCUCCCAGGUUCACCAGGGAAAAUGGCUGCUCGUGCCAGUCCAUCCCCUUGCCCAGAAGGCACCCGCUUGUGUUUGGGCACGAGCUGCUGGCCACAGCCAGAUGGGCAGCACCCGCAGCAUUGGCCAUCAGACGCUGGACUGAUGUUUUUUUCCAGAGAGCAAGAAAAGCAGCCAGAAGCACACAAGGCAACUUGACAGUAUCUCUGUAAGAAUGUCAUUGUACUGUGAAAGUCAAUAGUGGAUGGUGGUUUUGUGCUGCAGAUAAUCACUUCUGAGCAAAAAUCAUUCCAGGAAGGGUCAACAGCUUCUGCCUUCUGAUGGAUAAGUCAAUUUGCCACUGCUGUCCAGGCCCAUGGCCCCUCCCAGUCUGACCAAGUUUUGGUCUGCGGGUAUUAUUGGGGUUAGUCUGGAGGCAAAGAUCACACUGCCACUUGAGUAAUAGUGGCAUGUAAAUUCCAGGCAACGAUUCUUUCAAUCAAGUAGGUGUUCAGGGCAUCUAUUCCCCAGUGUGUUUUCUGGUGCUCCUCCCUUACUAGUGACUACAUGAAAUGGGAAGGGAUUACCAGCUUCCCUUCAAUGGUUGCCCACCCUUCUUGGUUGUAGGUCCCGUUUUGAUCUUUGAUUAGUUUUCUAUCUUUCUCAUUGUAUUCUGGCUUACCUUCAAGGGAAAUUUGCCCAUCUAAAAUCAGAGCUCCUUCAAUAGUUACCUCACCUUUUGCUGCUUCCUUUGCCUCUCUAUCCGCCAGCUCAUUUCCUUCUUCCAAUUCUGAGUUCACUCUCUGGUGUGCCCUAAUAAGCAUAAUUGCUGCCUUUUCAGGCAGCUGAACUGCUUCCAGCAGCCCGAUUAUCCCGAUCAUCUCUUGUGCAUGUUUGAUGUUCUUUCCUUGUGAGGUCAGCAGUCCCCUCUCUCUCCAGGUGGCUCCAUGUGCAUGCACAACUCCAAAUGCAUACCAUGGCUCUGUAUAGAUUUUAUUCUCUUUCCGCCUGCCAUUUCUAAGCCAAAAGGAAAGAGAAUCAGUGCAAUUAUUUUGGUCUUCUGUGCAGAGGUGCCUGUUGGUAGGGGUCCAGAUUCUAUUACCUCUCUGCAGGUAGUGACUGCAUAUCCAGCACGUCGCUUUCCACUGGCAAUGUGGUUACUCCCAUCAGUGAACCAGGUCUCUGCACCAUCCAAAGGAGUGUCCUUCAAGUCCGGGUAUCUGGAGUAAUUAGCUUCAAUGGUCUCCAGGCAAUCGUGGUGUGCUGCUUCUCCUUGAUCCCACUGAGAAAAGAAGCUGGGUUCACAAGCCUCCUCCAGCUUCAUCCAGACAAAGUUUGGGAUUGACAAAUCCUGGCUUGGGGGAAAAACAGUGGGUGAGCCCUUGGUCCUGCUGUCCCAAGUCCAUCUCCAGAAGUAACUGCCCUGUUCACAGUCGGAUGGGCCCAGACCCUGCUCAUCUCCAGCUUCCCCCACCCCUCCAGGCUGCCGGGAUCCCUCAGCUCUGGGAUUGGCCUUUGCUGCUCUCCCCACUCUGAUGCCAAUGUCUCCCCCCCCCCAAACUGGUACCACCUCCCCAGCCAGUACAGACAGUUUGCCACCGGAACCCUCCACAAGUCUCCAAAGCGGCAUCUGCGUCUCACCCUUGGGGACCUGCAAGAUCCAAACAUCCCCUACCCCGCAAACAAAUCCUCCCAGAGGCCCCCCCAGUGGAUUUGGGGUGAGUUCCCCCUCCCCGCUCACCUGUGGGAUCUGGGGGAUCGAUGCUGCCAGGGCCAGGGGAGCUGCAGACUCAGCAGGCAGGCGGGAAAAGCGUGGUUCUGCUGGGGCUCCUCCUCUUCCUCCUCCUGUUCCUGCUCCUCCUUUUCCCCAUCCUCCUCCUCCUCUCCCUCCUCUUCCUAUUGCGCCCCCUUCCAGAUCCACUCCAGAUCCCACCUCUCCCCCAUGGCUGCAGCACCACCAGCAUUUGGGUGGAGGGAACCCCCCAUGAGCCCCCCAGGGAUGGGCAGGGGGCUUGGGGACCCACCCAGUGCGGAUCCAUUCCCCCCCAGAGCCCCAGGGAAUCACUCCAGGAAUCGAAUGAUGGGGACACAAAGGGAUCCCCAUGGAACCGCUCUUUUUCUGUUCCAUCCCCACCGUUCCCUUCCCUCACUCAUCAUUCCUCCAACCCAAAGACCCCUCCCAACUCAGUCCGGGGGUGUCAUCCCUCUCGUGCUCUGAAUCCUCUUUUCCUCUGCUCUUCCACCCCUUCUCCAUUGUGCCCCCAGCCCCAGCCCUCACCCCUGUGUUUGGUUUUGGGGGAUGCAGGCCCCUCCUGCUCAGUCUGGAGAGUCACAUCUCCCCUUUCCCUCUAUUCUGGCAGCUCCUGGCUGCUUUUUCCUGGGAGGAAUCCCUCAGUUUUGGGACUUUUGAGGUUUAGCUUAGAAGUGUGACAGCUCUGUCUGGCUUUCCCCUUCCUGUUGUGGCCCCUCAGCUGCCCCUGACACCCUGGGGGUGCUGGGAUUUCUCUCCUGGGGACAAGGACGUUCAUCCCCUUCCAGGAGCCCAAUGCCUGGCUGGGGCUCCAGGUCAGGGGGUCCUUGAGCAGCUGCCCCAGAACCUCCCCCAGGGUCUCCCAGCACAGCUGGAGCUGCUCAGCCUGGGGUCCACAAAGGCCUCAGCAAGACCCAAGUCCCUCCCAGGAACCCUCAACUCCCUCCAACCCAGCAUCCCCCACAUCCCCUGCAAGUUCCCCCCAUGGCACUGGCCAUGGCCAUGUCCCCACAUGUCACUGCCCAUGUCCCACCAUGUCCUCACCCAUGGCUCUCUCCCUGUUUCCAUCCCUGUCAUUGUCCCCCACAUCUCCAUCCAUGCCUGUGUCCCCCCAUGUGUGGUAGCUAGGGAAGAGGCGCUGCGGAAGAUCUCGCGAUGUCACGGAAAGCCAGGACCCUCGGUUCCCCAUAGAUAAGACCCUCAGUUACUCAUAGAUAAGAAAUUAACAUAGGAAUGUGGUCCCACUAACAAUAGGAAUGUUGCCCCACUGAAGCCAGUAACUUUCCAUCCCUUACCCAGUACUUUUCCAUUCCCUACUAACCAGAGGUAAGAAGGACAAACCCCUUUUUGACGUAGAGACCCCUUAGACUAUAAGACCCCAGAAGAAGAAGUAAUAAAGGCCUUUUGACCGUCCACCA